rnacentral:rRNA from 1 species
AGUGAACGCUGGCGGCAGGCCUAACACAUGCAAGUCGAACGGCAGCACAGGGGUAGCAAUACCCUGGGUGGCGAGUGGCGGACGGGUGAGGAAUACGUCGGAAUCUGCCUAUUUGUGGGGGAUAACGUAGGGAAACUUACGCUAAUACCGCAUACGACCUACGGGUGAAAGCGGAGGACCUUCGGCGUUCGCGCAGAUAGAUGAGCCGACGUCGGAUUAG